UGAGGGCAUUGAUGAUUAAAACCAGUUCUGCUUCAGAUAAUUCUUGAUAGAAGAACCUGUAUACCAAAAAAUCUGAGCCUUUU
rnacentral:snoRNA from 1 species